GUCAGGGCUGAGCAUUUAAAGAGCUACCAUCCAGCUGGGGAGAGAUAGGAGAGAACAGAGGCUCAUCUGUGAGAGAUAGAGACUGACUGAGUUCCUCUUAGAUGCAUCCUCAGGCUCCUGCACCUUGGGCUUCACGUUGGAAGAUGAGAGAAGAGAAGAGAGGUGGGGCCUUGGCCUGGCUUCCUGAGAUCCCACUGUGGCUCUCUCCGGUGACUCUUUUCUUCCAUGCUGUACAGAAGCAUAGUGUCUUCUGCUUCUAGGGAGGCC